UUAAGCGACUAAGCGUACACGGUGGAUGCCCUGGCAGUCAGAGGCGAUGAAGGACGUGCUAAUCUGCGAUAAGCGUCGGUAAGGUGAUAUGAACCGUUAUAACCGGCGAUUUCCGAAUGGGGAAACCCAGUGUGAUUCGUCACACUAUCAUUAACUGAAUCCAUAGGUUAAUGAGGCGAACCGGGGGAACUGAAACAUCUAAGUACCCCGAGGAAAAGAAAUCAACCGAGAUUCCCCCAGUAGCGGCGAGCGAACGGGGAGCAGCCCAGAGCCUGAAUCAGUGUGUGUGUUAGUGGAAGCGUCUGGAAAGGCGCGCGAUACAGGGUGACAGCCCCGUACACAAAAAUGCACAUACUGUGAGCUCGAUGAGUAGGGCGGGACACGUGGUAUCCUGUCUGAAUAUGGGGGGACCAUCCUCCAAGGCUAAAUACUCCUGACUGACCGAUAGUGAACCAGUACCGUGAGGGAAAGGCGAAAAGAACCCCGGCGAGGGGAGUGAAAAAGAACCUGAAACCGUGUACGUACAAGCAGUGGGAGCACGCUUAGGCGUGUGACUGCGUACCUUUUGUAUAAUGGGUCAGCGACUUAUAUUCUGUAGCAAGGUUAACCGAAUAGGGGAGCCGAAGGGAAACCGAGUCUUAACUGGGCGUUAAGUUGCAGGGUAUAGACCCGAAACCCGGUGAUCUAGCCAUGGGCAGGUUGAAGGUUGGGUAACACUAACUGGAGGACCGAACCGACUAAUGUUGAAAAAUUAGCGGAUGACUUGUGGCUGGGGGUGAAAGGCCAAUCAAACCGGGAGAUAGCUGGUUCUCCCCGAAAGCUAUUUAGGUAGCGCCUCGUGAAUUCAUCUCCGGGGGUAGAGCACUGUUUCGGCAAGGGGGUCAUCCCGACUUACCAACCCGAUGCAAACUACGAAUACCGGAGAAUGUUAUCACGGGAGACACACGGCGGGUGCUAACGUCCGUCGUGAAGAGGGAAACAACCCAGACCGCCAGCUAAGGUCCCAAAGUCAUGGUUAAGUGGGAAACGAUGUGGGAAGGCCCAGACAGCCAGGAUGUUGGCUUAGAAGCAGCCAUCAUUUAAAGAAAGCGUAAUAGCUCACUGGUCGAGUCGGCCUGCGCGGAAGAUGUAACGGGGCUAAACCAUGCACCGAAGCUGCGGCAGCGACGCUGAUGCGUUGUUGGGUAGGGGAGCGUUCUGUAAGCCUGUGAAGGUGUACUGUGAGGCAUGCUGGAGGUAUCAGAAGUGCGAAUGCUGACAUAAGUAACGAUAAAGCGGGUGAAAAGCCCGCUCGCCGGAAGACCAAGGGUUCCUGUCCAACGUUAAUCGGGGCAGGGUGAGUCGACCCCUAAGGCGAGGCCGAAAGGCGUAGUCGAUGGGAAACAGGUUAAUAUUCCUGUACUUGGUGUUACUGCGAAGGGGGGACGGAGAAGGCUAUGUUGGCCGGGCGACGGUUGUCCCGGUUUAAGCGUGUAGGCUGGUUUUCCAGGCAAAUCCGGAAAAUCAAGGCUGAGGCGUGAUGACGAGGCACUACGGUGCUGAAGCAACAAAUGCCCUGCUUCCAGGAAAAGCCUCUAAGCAUCAGGUAACAUCAAAUCGUACCCCAAACCGACACAGGUGGUCAGGUAGAGAAUACCAAGGCGCUUGAGAGAACUCGGGUGAAGGAACUAGGCAAAAUGGUGCCGUAACUUCGGGAGAAGGCACGCUGAUAUGUAGGUGAAGUCCCUCGCGGAUGGAGCUGAAAUCAGUCGAAGAUACCAGCUGGCUGCAACUGUUUAUUAAAAACACAGCACUGUGCAAACACGAAAGUGGACGUAUACGGUGUGACGCCUGCCCGGUGCCGGAAGGUUAAUUGAUGGGGUCAGCGCAAGCGAAGCUCUUGAUCGAAGCCCCGGUAAACGGCGGCCGUAACUAUAACGGUCCUAAGGUAGCGAAAUUCCUUGUCGGGUAAGUUCCGACCUGCACGAAUGGCGUAAUGAUGGCCAGGCUGUCUCCACCCGAGACUCAGUGAAAUUGAACUCGCUGUGAAGAUGCAGUGUACCCGCGGCAAGACGGAAAGACCCCGUGAACCUUUACUAUAGCUUGACACUGAACAUUGAGCCUUGAUGUGUAGGAUAGGUGGGAGGCUUUGAAGUGUGGACGCCAGUCUGCAUGGAGCCGACCUUGAAAUACCACCCUUUAAUGUUUGAUGUUCUAACGUGGACCCGUAAUCCGGGUUGCGGACAGUGUCUGGUGGGUAGUUUGACUGGGGCGGUCUCCUCCUAAAGAGUAACGGAGGAGCACGAAGGUUGGCUAAUCCUGGUCGGACAUCAGGAGGUUAGUGCAAUGGCAUAAGCCAGCUUGACUGCGAGCGUGACGGCGCGAGCAGGUGCGAAAGCAGGUCAUAGUGAUCCGGUGGUUCUGAAUGGAAGGGCCAUCGCUCAACGGAUAAAAGGUACUCCGGGGAUAACAGGCUGAUACCGCCCAAGAGUUCAUAUCGACGGCGGUGUUUGGCACCUCGAUGUCGGCUCAUCACAUCCUGGGGCUGAAGUAGGUCCCAAGGGUAUGGCUGUUCGCCAUUUAAAGUGGUACGCGAGCUGGGUUUAGAACGUCGUGAGACAGUUCGGUCCCUAUCUGCCGUGGGCGCUGGAGAAUUGAGGGGGGCUGCUCCUAGUACGAGAGGACCGGAGUGGACGCAUCACUGGUGUUCGGGUUGUCAUGCCAAUGGCACUGCCCGGUAGCUAAAUGCGGAAGAGAUAAGUGCUGAAAGCAUCUAAGCACGAAACUUGCCCCGAGAUGAGUUCUCCCUGACUCCUUGAGAGUCCUGAAGGAACGUUGAAGACGACGACGUUGAUAGGCCGGGUGUGUAAGCGCAGCGAUGCGUUGAGCUAACCGGUACUAAUGAACCGUGAGGCUUAACCUU
rnacentral:rRNA from 2 species